rnacentral:rRNA from 1 species
GACGAACGCUGGCGGCGUGCCUAAUACAUGCAAGUAGAACGCUGAAGGGGGAGCUUGCUCGUCGGGAUGAGUUGCGAACGGGUGAGUAACGCGUAGGUAACCUGCCUGGUAGCGGGGGACAACUCUUGGAAACGAUAGCUAAUACCGCAGAAGAGUAGAGGUUGCAUGAGAUUUGCUUAAAAGGGGCAAUUUGGUCACUACCAGGUGGGACUGCGUUGUAGUAGGUAGUUGGUGGGGUAACGGCCCAGCAAGGCGACGGUACAUAGCCGAGCCUAGGGGGGGGAUGGCCAACCUGGGAACUGGAAAAGGCCCAGACUCCCACGGGGAGCAGCCGGAGGGGAACUUUGGCAAUGGACGGAAGUCCGACCGCGGAAAGCCGCGGGAGUGAAGAAGGUUUUCGGAUCGGAAAGCUCUGUUGUAAGGGAAGGACGCGGGUGGCAGUAGAAAGUUCCCACUGUGACGGUACCUGAAGAGAAAGGGACGGCUAACUACGUG